AACGGGGGAUGCAAGCGUUAUCCGGAAUCACUGGGCGUAAAGCGUCUGUAGGUGGCGAUGCCAGUCACUGGUGCAAAACUCUGGCUCAACCGGAGGAAAGCCAGUGAAACUGCAUGACUAGAGUGUGGGAGAGGUAGAAGGAAUUCCCUGAGUAGCGGUGAAAUGCGUAGAUACAGGGAAGAACACCGGAGGCGAAAGCGUUCUUCUGGAACACAACUGACACUGAGAGACGAAAGCUAGGGGAGCGAAUGGG
rnacentral:rRNA from 1 species